CACAUGCAAGUCGAACGGUAAGGCUUCCAGCUUGCUGGGGUACACGAGUGGCGAACGGGUGAGUAACACGUGGGUGACCUGCCCUGCACUUCGGGAUAAGCCUGGGAAACUGGGUCUAAUACCGGAUAGGACCAUGGUGUGGAUGCUGUGGUGGAAAGUUUUUUCGGUGUGGGAUGGGCCCGCGGCCUAUCAGCUUGUUGGUGGGGUAAUGGCCUACCAAGGCGGCGACGGGUAGCCGGCCUGAGAGGGUGGACGGCCACAUUGGGACUGAGACACGGCCCAGACUCCUACGGGAGGCAGCAGUGGGGAAUAUUGCACAAUGGGCGGAAGCCUGAUGCAGCGACGCCGCGUGGGGGAUGACGGCCUUCGGGUUGUAAACUCCUUUCACCAUCGACGAAGGGUUUCUGACGGUAGAUGGAGAAGAAGCACCGGCUAACUACGUGCCAGCAGCCGCGGUAAUACGUAGGGUGCGAGCGUUGUCCGGAAUUACUGGGCGUAAAGAGCUCGUAGGUGGUUUGUCGCGUCGUCUGUGAAAUUCCGGGGCUUAACUCCGGGCGUGCAGGCSAUACGGGCAUAACUUGAGUACUGU
rnacentral:rRNA from 1 species